AACAAACGCUGGCGGCGUGCAUAACACAUGCAAGUCUAACGGGAAAGUUAGCUUCGGCUGGCGAGUACCGUGGCGAACGGGUGAGUAACACGUGGGUAAUCUAACCUCGAGCGCGGGAUAACCUUGCGAAAGCGAGGCUAAUACCGGAUAAGACCACGCCCUGCACGCAGGGUGCGGUAAAAGGUGGCCUCUUCCUGAAAGCUAUCACUUGAGGAUGAGCCCGCGGCCUAUUAGCUAGUUGGUGGGGUAACGGCCCACCAAGGCGACGAUGGGUAGCAGGCCUGAGAGGGUGUACGGCCACACUGGGACUGAGAUACGGGCCAGACUCCUACGGGAGGCUGCAGUGGGGAAUUUUGCGCAAUGGGGGCAACCCUGACGCAGCAACGCCGCGUGAGUGAUGAAGGCCUUCGGGUCGUAAAGCUCUUUUAGUGGGGAAGAAGCCCACCCGGGCUAAUAUCCCGGGUGUCUGACGGUACCCACAGAAAAAGUUCCGGCUAACUACGUGCCAGCCGCCGCCGCAGUAA
rnacentral:rRNA from 1 species